rnacentral:rRNA from 2 species
GGUUAAGCGACUAAGCGUACACGGUGGAUGCCCUGGCAGUCAGAGGCGAUGAAGGACGUGCUAAUCUGCGAUAAGCGUCGGUGAGGUGAUAUGAACCGUUAUAACCGGCGAUUUCCGAAUGGGGAAACCCAGUGUGUUUCGACACACUAUCAUUAACUGAAUCCAUAGGUUAAUGAGGCGAACCGGGGGAACUGAAACAUCUAAGUACCCCGAGGAAAAGAAAUCAACCGAGAUUCCCCCAGUAGCGGCGAGCGAACGGGGAGGAGCCCAGAGCCUGAAUCAGUGUGUGUGUUAGUGGAAGCGUCUGGAAAGGCGUGCGAUACAGGGUGACAGCCCCGUACACAAAAAUGCACAUAUUGUGAGCUCGAUGAGUAGGGCGGGACACGUGGUAUCCUGUCUGAAUAUGGGGGGACCAUCCUCCAAGGCUAAAUACUCCUGACUGACCGAUAGUGAACCAGUACCGUGAGGGAAAGGCGAAAAGAACCCCGGCGAGGGGAGUGAAAAAGAACCUGAAACCGUGUACGUACAAGCAGUGGGAGCCUCUUAAUGGGGUGACUGCGUACCUUUUGUAUAAUGGGUCAGCGACUUAUAUUCUGUAGCAAGGUUAACCGAAUAGGGGAGCCGAAGGGAAACCGAGUCUUAACUGGGCGUUAAGUUGCAGGGUAUAGACCCGAAACCCGGUGAUCUAGCCAUGGGCAGGUUGAAGGUUGGGUAACACUAACUGGAGGACCGAACCGACUAAUGUUGAAAAAUUAGCGGAUGACUUGUGGCUGGGGGUGAAAGGCCAAUCAAACCGGGAGAUAGCUGGUUCUCCCCGAAAGCUAUUUAGGUAGCGCCUCGUGAAUUCAUCUCCGGGGGUAGAGCACUGUUUCGGCAAGGGGGUCAUCCCGACUUACCAACCCGAUGCAAACUGCGAAUACCGGAGAAUGUUAUCACGGGAGACACACGGCGGGUGCUAACGUCCGUCGUGAAGAGGGAAACAACCCAGACCGCCAGCUAAGGUCCCAAAGUCAUGGUUAAGUGGGAAACGAUGUGGGAAGGCCCAGACAGCCAGGAUGUUGGCUUAGAAGCAGCCAUCAUUUAAAGAAAGCGUAAUAGCUCACUGGUCGAGUCGGCCUGCGCGGAAGAUGUAACGGGGCUAAACCAUGCACCGAAGCUGCGGCAGCGACACUAUGUGUUGUUGGGUAGGGGAGCGUUCUGUAAGCCUGUGAAGGUGGCCUGUGAGGGUUGCUGGAGGUAUCAGAAGUGCGAAUGCUGACAUAAGUAACGAUAAAGCGGGUGAAAAGCCCGCUCGCCGGAAGACCAAGGGUUCCUGUCCAACGUUAAUCGGGGCAGGGUGAGUCGACCCCUAAGGCGAGGCCGAAAGGCGUAGUCGAUGGGAAACAGGUUAAUAUUCCUGUACUUGGUGUUACUGCGAAGGGGGGACGGAGAAGGCUAUGUUGGCCGGGCGACGGUUGUCCCGGUUUAAGCGUGUAGGCUGGUUUUCCAGGCAAAUCCGGAAAACCAAGGCUGAGGCGUGAUGACGAGGCACUACGGUGCUGAAGCGACAAAUGCCCUGCUUCCAGGAAAAGCCUCUAAGCAUCAGGUAACAUCAAAUCGUACCCCAAACCGACACAGGUGGUCAGGUAGAGAAUACCAAGGCGCUUGAGAGAACUCGGGUGAAGGAACUAGGCAAAAUGGUGCCGUAACUUCGGGAGAAGGCACGCUGAUAUGUAGGUGAAGCGACUUGCUCGUGGAGCUGAAAUCAGUCGAAGAUACCAGCUGGCUGCAACUGUUUAUUAAAAACACAGCACUGUGCAAACACGAAAGUGGACGUAUACGGUGUGACGCCUGCCCGGUGCCGGAAGGUUAAUUGAUGGGGUUAGCGGCAACGCGAAGCUCUUGAUCGAAGCCCCGGUAAACGGCGGCCGUAACUAUAACGGUCCUAAGGUAGCGAAAUUCCUUGUCGGGUAAGUUCCGACCUGCACGAAUGGCGUAAUGAUGGCCAGGCUGUCUCCACCCGAGACUCAGUGAAAUUGAACUCGCUGUGAAGAUGCAGUGUACCCGCGGCAAGACGGAAAGACCCCGUGAACCUUUACUAUAGCUUGACACUGAACAUUGAGCCUUGAUGUGUAGGAUAGGUGGGAGGCUUUGAAGUGUGGACGCCAGUCUGCAUGGAGCCGACCUUGAAAUACCACCCUUUAAUGUUUGAUGUUCUAACGUUGGCCCGUAAUCCGGGUUGCGGACAGUGUCUGGUGGGUAGUUUGACUGGGGCGGUCUCCUCCUAAAGAGUAACGGAGGAGCACGAAGGUUGGCUAAUCCUGGUCGGACAUCAGGAGGUUAGUGCAAUGGCAUAAGCCAGCUUGACUGCGAGCGUGACGGCGCGAGCAGGUGCGAAAGCAGGUCAUAGUGAUCCGGUGGUUCUGAAUGGAAGGGCCAUCGCUCAACGGAUAAAAGGUACUCCGGGGAUAACAGGCUGAUACCGCCCAAGAGUUCAUAUCGACGGCGGUGUUUGGCACCUCGAUGUCGGCUCAUCACAUCCUGGGGCUGAAGUAGGUCCCAAGGGUAUGGCUGUUCGCCAUUUAAAGUGGUACGCGAGCUGGGUUUAGAACGUCGUGAGACAGUUCGGUCCCUAUCUGCCGUGGGCGCUGGAGAACUGAGGGGGGCUGCUCCUAGUACGAGAGGACCGGAGUGGACGCAUCACUGGUGUUCGGGUUGUCAUGCCAAUGGCACUGCCCGGUAGCUAAAUGCGGAAGAGAUAAGUGCUGAAAGCAUCUAAGCACGAAACUUGCCCCGAGAUGAGUUCUCCCUGACUCCUUGAGAGUCCUGAAGGAACGUUGAAGACGACGACGUUGAUAGGCCGGGUGUGUAAGCGCAGCGAUGCGUUGAGCUAACCGGUACUAAUGAACCGUGAGGCUUAACCUU